CUCUCUCUCUCUCUCUCUCUCUCUUCCUCCUUCCCGCACUUGUGGGCUGUAAGGGGUUGUUCACUUAACAAUUGAAUUUCAUUUUCAAUUCUUUUUUCAUCUAGUCCGGCUGUGGACACUUGUGUCAAUUAGAGGUUUCUUUGAAAACUGCAUGGUGGACUACAUAAUGUAGUUUGCUUUUCUUUGUUCUUUGUUCCAUUUGUUGCCCCUCUUGGUCUUGUUCCACUCUUCACCAGUGAAUUUCAGCCUCUUCUUCAAGCAUAUCACUGCUCAACUUCUUGCUGGAGCACAGGAAUGGGACGAGCUUUUAGAUGGAGGAACUAAUGUUGAUAAAAACAAAUUAGGUGGUGGCAUCCUGUUAAUGGGUGAAGCAUUUGCUCGUAUUAGUCGGCGAGGAUCAGCAGAUGUGCUGUUAAGUGUAUUGGUUCCUGAGUUACUUAAACAUGUGCGGAGCUCCUUGCCAUUGAAUUCGGAUAUUCCCGUUGGUGAAGCAUUUGAAUCAACACCUGGUUUGCGAUUUUGGUUGAAGAUGAUAGAGUCAAUCAAAGACCCUUACUCUGUAGAAAGAAUGACUGAAGAGCUAUUUAAACAAUUAGCAGCUCAAAAUACAGGAGAUAUUGAAGCUCACUUGAUUUUGUGGAUAUUGUUUCAUCAGAUUUUCCAGCAACAAGCCUCGAUUAGGUCCAUGUUUCUUGAGAAAUUUUUACUGUGGAAAGUAUUCCCUAGCAAUUGCUUGAGAUGGAUUCUUCACUUUGCUGUUUUUCAGUGUUCUCCUGAAAAUUCCUCAUCAGUGAAAGCUUGUAACCUCCGUAGUCUCUCAGAGACUGUCCAGCAUCUUGUCACGGCUUGGUCUAAACGAGAAUUUGUGCAAUCAACUUCUAUUGAGCAGCAAGCCUAUAUAACUGCUGCAUUAGGCCUUUGCCUAGAGAAGAUGUCUAAAGAAGAUUUAGAUGCAACCAAGGAUGCAAUGCACUGUAUUCUUGAAGGAGUUAGCUGUAGGUUAGAAAGUGCUGAUCAUUUGGUCCGUAAAAUGGCUAGCAGCGUUGCUUUAGCAUUUUCCAAAGUAAUUGACCCCCAGAAUCCUCUCUACCUUGAUGAUAGUUGCCGCGAGGAAUCUAUUGACUGGGAGUUUGGUUUAUUAACACCCGAAAAAAGAUUAUUGGCUAGGUCAACAAACAUAGAUGGAGAUACUAAGAGCUGUUCAAGCACAGUAAUUGCAAAUGAAUUAAAUACCAUAGCUGCUACCAGCACACAUGAUAACGUGAUGGGCAAAAAGAAGAAAUUGUUUGAAUUUGAAUCCGUUGAUCCAGAUGAGAUUAUUGAUCCAGCAUCCCUAAAUAAUGAGGUGGACUCUUGGGAAGAUGAUGAUGAUGAUAAUGCAAGUGAAACCUCCGAGUCCUCAAAUGACUCGUCUCUACAGCCAUAUGACUUGUCAGAUGAUGAUGCAGAUCUGAAAAGAAGUUUCUCACAGUUAGCGGAUGUGAUUGGAGCACUAAGAAAAUCUGAUGAUGCUGAUGGAGUUGAUAAGGCUAUUGAUGUUGCUGAGAAGCUUGUACGAGCAUCACCUGAUGAGCUCAAGUUUGUAGCUUCUGAUCUAGUCAGAAGUCUUCUACAAGCCCGCUGCUCUGAUUCAACUAUUGAAGGGGCGGAAGAGUCCGCUGAAGAGAAGAGACAAAAAGCACUUGUUGCUUUGAUUGUCACAUGUCCUCAUGAAUCUCUUAAUACACUAAACAAAUUGCUUUAUUCACCAAAUUUAGAUGUCAGCCAGCGGUUAAUGAUACUUGAUGUAAUGACAGAGGCUGCACAGGAGCUCGCAGGUACAGGGAUUUCAAGAUUUAAGCAACGGUCUGGCGCUCUCAUAUCAUCCAUGUCCGAUCAAGCAUGGUUCAUGCCAAAACCUGUUGGUCCUCCAGGAACUGGUCCUUGGAAGGAGAUCUCAACACCAGGAACUCCUUUGAAUUGGUCUCACUCGUAUAAGAGAGAACUUCCCCCUAAAUCAGGUCAGAUCAAGAAGGGAAAGACUCGCCGUUGGGGCCUUCAUUCAGCUGUACCAGAAAAUCACCUUGAAUGGUCCCAGAAUAAGUUUCCCCAGUAUGCAGCGGCAUUUAUGCUUCCAGCCAUGGAAGGAUUUGAUAAGAAAAGGCAUGGUGUAGAUUUGCUUGGCAGAGACUUUCUCGUUUUGGGGAAGCUUAUCUACAUGCUCGGUGUCUGUAUGAAGUGUUCAGCCAUGCAUCCAGAAGCAUCUAUUUUGGCAUCUCCUCUUUUGGAAUUGUUAAGAUCAAGGGAGAUAUCUCAUCAUGUGGAAGCUUAUGUUAGGAGAUCUGUCCUGUUUACUUCUUCAUGCAUAUUGAUUUCUCUUCAUCCCUCCUAUGUGGCGGCUGCCUUGUUUGAGGGAAAUUCUGAAAUUUCAAAAGGACUUGAGUGGGUUCGCAGCUGGGCACUUCAUAUUGCUGAAUCUGACACCGACAGGGAGUGCUACACACUGGCUAUGACUUGCCUCCAACUCCAUUCAGAGAUGGCUCUUCAAACUUCUCGGGCACUUGAAUCACCAGAAAGCUUACCUGGAUCGAAUAGCAGCAGUCUACCAUCAAAUGUAUUGAGGGGGUUUAUCAAAAUCCCCAAUUCAAGUGGUGGCAUUCUGAAUGCCCCUUAGAUAUUAUUGACAUGUUUAUUCUCUGGCACGAUCUGUAUAUUUCUGAAAUAUCCAACCUCGCCUUCCUAUAUGACAUCCCUCAGCACGAAAGCAUAAAACUUCGCAAUGCUUACAAGAGCUGGCGUGAGAUGCUAGAUUUUGACAAUGAGGCAUCUUCCGAAAAGAACAUAAUAUUGGCAUGUCAUCUGAUGAGGUUUUUCAUCCAAAAGAUUUUAGUGCAGCCUUGAGUUUAAAUGUGUUUCGACAGUAUGCCUUCCUUUUCCCAUACAUGCACUCUGAAAUUUCAAUCAUGUACGUACAAAAUGUAUGCCUCUAAAUGGAUUGCAAGUCCUUGACCAUGGAAACAAGACUUUGAGAUCUAAAGCUCUAUCCAAGGUAGCUUGUUCCGACUAGCACGAAGAUAAUCAAGAAACAAUAGAGGGUCUCAACACUGUUUCUUGUUGCUUUUGAAAAAUUGGAGUUCUUGUUUUUUUUUCCCCUCUUCUUAGUCUGUUUAGUAGGCUUUUCAAGAAGGGUUAUCUGGUUUCCUUUUCUUGGGAUGUAAUAGAUAUAAAUACUUGGUAGACUCGUUCUUGAGGAGAGACUUUGCAUAUUGUGAUUCCAAAAAUUGAACUUGGCAAUUACUUUCAAGUUUGAGUUCUUGAUGCC